GCCCCGUUUUAUCGUUCAGGUGCCCAGCAACACUGGGUUAAACGGGAAGUCAGGUGCGCUUCAUGCCAAGCCUGCGCUGCCCCCGCAACGGUAACCGACCGCAGCACGCUGCAACCGCUUCGCAAUAGCCACUGUGCCCUGCAUGGGAAGGCGCGAAUGUCGGGUCGGGAGCCCGGAAACCGGCCUGCACGAUGCGAUAGGU
rnacentral:ncRNA from 2 species